UGGAGGACUUAUACAAAUAGAGCAUUGGAGACGCUCCCACCUUUUUGUCUAGCGGGGUCCCAGGUUUGGCGAUCUAGGACCACCUUAAUCUGCUUCCACAUUAUUAAGCUGCAUCUUCCAGAUCGUGUGCUCGUGUGCUUCGACAGUUUGGUCUGUUACAACAUAUACCUGAAGCAGUGGUUGCCAUAUCUCGCAUCACUUCACGGGUAGAGCAGAUGAGAAUUGGGCGGCGUAUCAUGCUUCAUAUAUUCAGCAUUGGGAUGAUAGAUUGAUGGAUAUACUAGAGAUGAACCUUGAGGUAAAUCCAGAUCCUAUAGGAGCUAUCACUGCUUACAUGCAGUGGUAUUGGAGGAUCACCAGGAGGUGGAUAUCUAGGCUAGUACAGCGGCCACCCCUCGCGUAUCAGCCACAUGAUUACGUCGAGAGAGUAUUGGUCGAUAUCAUGCAGAGAUCAUAUUAUACGAUUAGAUGUGUCCUGCCAGAUAUUCCAUAUGGUGGAGUAUUAGACGCCCUAUCACAAGUUGCCGAUCAAAUAGAAGCAGUUUUGGAGACUUUACCUACACUUCCACACACUGUACCUCCACGGCUAACAGAACAGGUGGACCAUCGACGUCGGGCCAUGUACCAUUGUAUAGUCCACCGAGGCCAUCUUCAUCGAUAGAGGAGCCACCUUAUCAUCCAGAUACAGUACCAGCACCAGUACCAGAGGAUCCACCUCGACCAGUCGAUAUUGUUUAUCGUAGGCACCGACGACAAUUGCAUUCUUUCCAUAUAGAUCAACCCUCCUCUUCAGCUCCUCCACGGCCAGACAUACUACCGACACCUGCUAUGAUUGAGCACAAGAUCAAACGGGUGAUCGAGACGCAGGACACUCAGACAGUUAUUGAGGGUGCUACUAUCAAACAUCUCGACCAGUUGGAGGUCAUAGAGCCCUUUGAUGAGCAUAGUGUUGAUCGUGGUCGCGGUCGUGGUAGGAGACGUGCAGGUAGACGUGGUCGAGGGAUUAGGAGAAGAACAUGACAUUAUAUUUUUGUAAAUUUUAAAUUACACCGAACUUUCUAUAUUAUUGAAAAACUUGCUUUAAUUUUUGAUA